GCUCCAGUGGCCAAGUGGUUAGAACGUCUGCCUCGGAUACAGGAGGUCGUGGGUUCGAACAACCGCCGAGUCA